rnacentral:rRNA from 1 species
UACGGAGGGUGCAAGCGUUAUCCGGAUUUACUGGGUUUAAAGGGUGCGUAGGCGGGAUCUUAAGUCAGAGGUGAAAGCCUGGAGCUCAACUCCAGAACUGCCUUUGAUACUGGGAUUCUUGAGUUCGGGAGAGGUGAGCGGAACUGCGAGUGUAGAGGUGAAAUUCGUAGAUAUUCGCAGGAACACCAGUGGCGAAGGCGGCUUACUGGUCCAUAACUGACGCUGAGGUGCGAAAGCGUGGGGAGCAAACAGG